GCUGCUCUCGCCUGUCCGCAUUGCGGUACUGCACCCGAAAGGGGGACGCGCAUGCGCACUGCCUCCCGCCCCGCUCACUGCUGCCCUCGCCUGUCCGCAUUGCGGUACUGCAACCGAAGGGGGGCCGCGCAUGCGCACUGCCUCCCGCCCCGCUCACUGCUGCCCUCGCCUGUCCGCGUUGCGGUACUGCACCCGAGACGGGGCCGCGCAUGCGCACUACCUUCGGCCCCGCUCACUACUGCCCUCGCCUGUCCGCAUUGCGGUACUGCAACCGAAAGGGGGACGCGCAUGCGCACUGCCUCCCGCCCCGCUCUCUGCUGCCCUCGCCUGUCCGCAUUGCGGUACUGCACCCGUAGACGGGGCCGCGCAUGCGCACUCCUGCCCGCCCCGCUCUCUGCUGCCCUCGCCUGUCCGCAUUGCGAUACUGCACGCGAAACGGGGCCGCGCAUGCGCACUGCCUCCCGCCCCGCGCUCUGCUGUUCUCGCGUGUCCAAAAGCCAGCGCUGCAGCCCCCCCCCCCGGCCUCCCCCGCGUGCGGAGAAUACCGCCGGCAGCACACGCGCGCACUGGCGCGCCUCUCCGCUCUUUCGGCCGUAGGGUAGUCCCCGGAAGGGGGCAUCUCCAAGAGAAGCGGCUAGACCCAGCGACCCAGCCGUUCGCUUUGGUCGCCACCUGUGAGGCGAGCAUCCGAGCGCAACGGGAGUCCGGGAGCUGUAUCGAGAAGAGCUGGAACCAACGACAGCAAAUGCUGACGGAGAGGGAAGCCGGACGAGCGGCAUGUAGGGGAUUAAUACCUAAGGGACGGGGUUGAAACGAGGAGGCAGAAACGCAGCGGACCCUCGGUAUCCCCAGCAGCUGCCACGGUAGCAGCAGGUGUUCCGCCACGGGCAAGUCAAGCAGGGAGCGACGACGGGCUGUCGUGAAGAACUACAGGCUGCCGCCCUCCGACCUCGGCAGGUGACGCGCCGAGAGCAGCCGGGAGAAUCCGAAUGCCGGUCUUGGCGAGUUCUCUGCCUGGUGCUGACGAGGAGCCUUUGACAGUAGGAAGGUUGGCAGCGUCCGUACCUGAACCGUGGAGUACACACCUGCUUCUAGUCUCAGUUGAAGGACGGGUCGCCUAGCUCAGCGUCUAACAAACCCCACAACCGGUGGCCCGGUCGCUAUGGCGCUGCUGUUGCUAGCAGAGCCACCAGGUCUGUGUGAAGCCUUAGGUGCCUGCUUGGAGCAGUGUUUUGGUCUGCUCACCUGGAAGAAGCAGCGAGGCCUAAAAUAAGACUUUGUUGCGGCUACAUGGGUAAGCUGCGACCCCACGUGUCUUUGCCUUGCUUUGCUGCCUCAUGUCGUAAGAGCGACUUGGGAAUAAAAACCGCUUAUGGGGGUGCUUAAGGGAGGAUCUGCGUUCUGCCCAGCUUAGGGAGCUAUAGCGAAAGCUUGGGGAGGGAGGGGAGGGGAGGG